rnacentral:misc_RNA from 1 species
UACGUAGGAGGCAAGCGUUAUCCGGAAUCAUUGGGUUUAAAGGGUCCGUAGGCGGGACAAUAAGUCAGUGGUGAAAGUCUGCAGCUCAACUGUAGAAUUGCCAUUGAUACUGUUAACCUUGAGUAAUUAUGAAGUGGUUAGAAUAUGUAGUGUAGCGGUGAAAUGCAUAGAUAUUACAUAGAAUACCGAUUGCGAAGGCAGAUCACUAAUAAUUCACUGACGCUGAUGGACGAAGGCGUAGAUAGCGAACAGG